rnacentral:misc_RNA from 1 species
GGCCAAGGGAAGAGAGCGGUUGACAAAUUCGCAGAGCAUUGUUGUUAAUUUGAUUCUCGCGCUCUCUUCUGUAUUACUUAUACAGAUUUUGAUAUUGAAUUCGAUUGACAAUACACUAACACAUACUCAUCUCAAAACAAAAACAAAUAAACCCUAUAGUGGAAAUAAGGAGAAGAAUUAGCAAGAAAAAUGAUGGAAUUCCUGGACCUGGAAUCGCAGGACGGAGUGAGAAUGCCGUGGAACGUGCUUCCGGGCACCAAGCAAGAGGCCAGCAACUGUGUGGUACCCGUCUCAGCCAUUUACACUCCGAUCAAGCACUUCGCCAACAUGCCGGUCCUCCCCUACUCUCCCCUGCGUUGCCGCACCUGCCGCUCCGUGCUUAAUCCAUUUUCGAUCGUGGAUUUCGCGGCUAAGAUCUGGAUCUGCCCCUUCUGCUUCCAACGCAAUCACUUCCCGCCUCACUACGCCUCCAUCAGCGACGACAACCUUCCUGCGGAGCUCUUCCCGCAAUACACCACCAUCGAAUACGAGACUCCAGCAGAGAAGUGCUCGUCCUCGUCGGUUUUUAUGUUUGUGGUGGACACUUGCAUCAUCGAGGAGGAGAUGGCCUUCCUCAAGUCAGCCUUGUCCCAGGCCAUCGACCUCCUUCCGGACAAUUCCCUCGUUGGCCUCAUCACUUUUGG